CGAUUUCGAUCAAUGUCGCCGUAUUCUGAAACAUCUAGUCACAAAUAAUUUUCUCUCUGGAGGAGCAAAAACCCUGAUUAAUUAACACAAAAAUCCACCUUGACCAGAGUAAAUAGAGUGUGAAGAGUUUUUGCAAAUAAUAGGAACUAUUUCAUUGUGCAAUUGUGCCAACCACAACGAACGAUAACUUUGACAGCCAUGCCUACUACGACUAACGCAUCCACUACUAUCCAUUCAGGAACUUGUUGGAUAAGGCGGCUGCGGUUUAACGUUUCGACGUUGGACAAACUGUUUGACGCAGAAAAUGUCAAUUGUGAAUCCACUUAACUUAAAAGAAGAAUUUAUUUACAAAAUUAGUAAAUGUGUACUUGUUAUUUCAAAACCUGGAAUAUUUAUAAGUCAACAGAAUUCCUGCAAAGACCGAAAUUUCAAAUAUGAACCAAGAGGUUGUUCUUCAUACAAAAUUAUCAUUACAAAUACAAAGUACAAGAUAUGUUUUACUAGUUUUAAGAGAAAAUGGCGUCACCAAAAGUCAUUUGACGUUUUCCUGGCAUCUGAUUGGUUGCAACCUGAAUUAUUUACACAUAAGGUUGAAAAUGUAACUGUAGUCGCCACAGAAUAACCUGAAUUACAAUAGGUAAAGCAAGUUU